CAGUGAAGCCCAGAGGUGCGUUCAGUGGUGGAUGUGAGUUUGAACUGAACCAGAGAUUAAGGAGGAGAGGAUGAAUCCAGACAGGAAGAGGAAAAAAAACAACAACUGACAGCUACUGAAGAGGAUUCAAUGCAGUGGUGGAGGAUUUAGAGGAGAUAAUACCACAGGGGAUCACCACAGGGUGAAAAGAGGACAAAACGAGAGGAUCGCCAGUGUUGCUUGGGAUACCAGUACUGGAAAGCAGGAGAUGCUUCAAUCCCAAGACAAAUUCAUUAUUCGAACCUCCAGGCAAUAGAAUCACAAGAUUUCUGAUCCAUACAAUUCACACUCUCACAGACAGAGGACAGUCUGGCAGCUCCAGCGUUCGCCACUAACCGCUGGAAUACACACCAAGCCGUCAGUACGAUGCCUCUUUGCUUAUGCGCUAUUUGUCCAUUGAAGUUCCAGAACAGACGACACUGCAUUAAAGAAAUGUCAGGUGAUCUCGCCGAUCGGUUUUAACCACAAGGUGGCUUUUAUUCACCUGUACCAAUCGUACUGGCAACCCACUCACAUGGCCCCACCAUGGCUAUCACCCUGCUUACGCCAAACACCCAUGGUGGGCAUACACACACGCACACACUGUAUACAAUGAUGAACAUUAAACCCUAUGCAUGUGUGGAAGUAAAACACCUAUACUGACUUUUAUUCCUCUAAAUUCUGCUCGACACCAGGAAUGAAGUAAAUUUUACCUGACAGAACUUGAGGAAGAUAAAAUUUCUUUAUUAAAGCAGGGUGCAGCCGGAGUUGACAUCUAAGAAACGGGGCAUUCCCGUCCCAAAGAAGCAGACCCCCGAACAACAGAAAAGCUCAGUUCUAAUACAUUUCUUUUACUCCCUUUAAAAGAAUCUUCUACCUCACUGCAUAAGAUGGAAAGUGUGACGGUCUCAGAGGUGGUGAUCUCAUGCCCCUUCACACUCCUCUAGGCCCAGGGACAGACAUCCAGUUGCCAUCAGCUCCAUCCCAGCCUUGCUAAGCCCUUCACAUAUUUCUAUUCGGUCCAAUCCAUGCGAUCAAGUAAAUCAUAUUAAACAUAGCACACAUAUUAGACUACAUAAGAAUAUAAGUCUCUUUAUUCGGUAUUUCUGUCUGCUCCUCCAUUAUCUUCCUCUGCAGCACUGAGUAGCCGGUGUAAUGCAUCCUGUUUCUCAGCAAGUCUCCGAUUAUUUUCAGAAACAGGUGGUUUCAGCUUCCAGUUUCAGGGUCAGCGCAAGACACACAUGCACACGUCUUCUUGCCUAAGGCCUUAGACAUUGACAGCAUUACCUCUACGCACCCCUCCUGGCCCUACUGGAAUUUUUCUUCCACACAUGACAUUACAAUGCAGCACAAUGACAUGCAGCGCAUGCCGACUAUGGAGCACUUAUUACACUGAUAGCACCAAACCAACCUCCACGGUGCUCGAUGGUACCUUCAGUGCUACAAAACCAUUAAAUCAUAAACGACCUUCCCACUGCUUUUGUUACUGAAAUGAGAAGUGUCCAGCAAUAGAAAAGAGCCUCGCUUAUCGUGGAUCUAUGUGUGUGACGUGCCAUCCCAUACAGUAGGUGGCAGCAAUAUAUGAACUGGAGUCCCAUGGUUAUAAUGGAGAAGAGUAGACCAGUGACAGGAAUCAUAGGCGAUGUUCAAAUUCAGGGACUGUGUCCGAAUUCAGGAGCUGCAUCAUUAUGAGGAUGAAUUUGAAGUAGAACUGGGCGGUAUGACCAAAAAUUUAUAUCACGAUAUUUUUCAAAGAUAUAUUGGUUUCAUGGUAUACGACGGUAUGACUGGGUGUUUAUCACAUUUUACAGGACUCACUUUUGUUUUACGUCUUUGCAUUGUUCCCACAUUAACUAUAUUAUUUUAUUAUUAGCCAUUGUGCCUAUCUGCUACCUUGAUGGUAACAUACGCCUAACAUGUUUGUUGGCUAACUGCUUAUAGAUAAAUGGCUAAUGUUAAGGUGUGUGCCGGCCAAAUUAAUGUUUUUGUUAAGUGUUCAAUAGUUCAGUGUUGCUGGAAUGCGAGCUUCACUGACCCGUCCGGGAUGUUGGUCUUUAAGAUGCUUCACCAGGUCCGGCCAACCAGCGCAAAUGCGUUCAGCGGCUAUUGAGAGGAGGGGAGGGGCUGCGCGAGAGUGUGCAUGUGCGUGUGUUAGGGUGGUCCACUGUUAUGUAGUAAAAUUUCAUGUUUCUUAUACUGAAUCAGACACACAAUGCCCUUAUUACAAUUGACAAUGUAAAUGAACUCUGAAAAUUUGAAGACAAUCGGAUAAUAUUUAGAGGUCGCUCCAAAUGUCAGCUUUUGCAAGAAAUUACCAACCACACUGAAACAACACGUAAUGCGUCCUAUUGUACUAUUGCACUAUGCAGGCUACCAAGCACACGUACACAUUGCUACAGCAGCUGCAGCACACACUAGCCACUCACAGCCAGUCUAUUAUUAGUCGGAUUCGCUUUUUUCGAUGAAAGAAUCAAUGCCACAGAGAAGAAUGCCAUGGUGCAGAACCUGAAGCAACCGCCAAAGAAAGAAGCUCUUAAGAGACUCGAAGGCAAGAAUUUUUUCCCCUCGGCAGUCAUCAAGUGAAUUUGUGAGCAUUUUCGCAGCGCUUCUCCUAGAUGGUGCUGUGCUGGCUGGUCAUUUGCUGUACAAGAAACCUGAAAACCCUACCUACAUAUGGCUCAAGACAUCUUGUGAUAAGAUGACAGUGGUCAGUGGUUGUGCCGAAAGCAAUCUGUCACAAAAUUUUGUCAAAAAUUCAACUCGACCCUAACAAUGGACAAGAAACAGAAGCAGUAUAUCCUGAUUGAUCCCGACAGCAAUUUAAGGACGUGCCUUACUCUCCAAAGGACGCUUUCACCGAAUAACAUCUUUGUGGGAUAUUGAACAUUGUUGUUUCUGGUACACAUGUUAUUACUACAGUAUAAUGCUUCAUUUCUGUUGUAUCAGUAACAAAAUAAAUGUGAAUCAUCAAAAUGAAAUAUCCAUAGUGCAAAAAAGGCACAAACUGGACCCCUAAAUGAUGAGCUAUAAGCCUGAAACUAUGUAGUUUUAUUUUGUUUCUGAAGUGGAAAUAGGGCAACAUCUGUCUGACCUGGUAAUUUUAAACUGGAAUUUUUGGACCACCCUAGAGUGCGUGCACGCGUACCUGUACUGUAAUGGUGCUGUGGGAAGUGUGGCAAAUGAGGUGAAAACCGCACUGUUGGUAUCAAUAAUGGUGAAAAUAAGUAUCUAAACAGAUACUAAUUUUUACUAUCGAUUAGUAUCUGAGAAUCGAUUUUGACAACCCCAGUGUCUCAUUAAUUUCAACUCCAGCAUCAGCUAUACUGUAUCUUCCAUUUCUGAUCUUUUGUGGUCACCCCUUAAACAGUUUCCAGCUGUGUCACUUUCCGAACGUUGUGUAGGCUAUUUAAACCGAUACUGCGGUAUAAGAAAAAUUCACAUCAUAACAAACAUAAAAAACAGUUUUCGGUAUGAACCGGUAUACCGCCCAACACCAAUUUGAAGACUGAAUGUAUCACAGCGAUGCAACAAGGAUGCCUCAUUUCAAAGGGUCCUUCAAGUGCAGCUUAGAAGUGCAUCGUUCUUUCAUGAAGGAUCCACCUGCUCCAUGAUGGAUGCAUCCCAAGGAUUCUACUCAGGCUAACAUGUCCCAAGAUUCAUUGUGCAGAGGUGGGUGUGCCCCAGUUAGGUGAUAGGAACAACGCUUCAUGACUCAAUGUUAAGGGCAGGAACAGCAGGUGACAGAAAUUCCCCAGAACCCAUUGAAAACCCUUUCUGUUUGAACUUCGAUAUUGGGAUCUCAGCCAAAGAAUGACGUUUUUUUGUAUUUGUAUUUGAAGAAGCCUCUGGAAUAGAUUAAGCUUUGUCAUGUCACUGUGACACACUCAGUCUACUAAUACAGCCUUAGAAGGAUGCAGCCCCUGAAUUCAGACACAGCUACUGUGUAACUACUCACUGUUUAUGUGCCUUACUGUCCGACUUCCCUGCUUUUCCUGUUAUUUUUGUUGGACUAUUGGAAUACACGUAUUUAGUCUUUUUAAGGAUUACCAUUGAAGUACUCCCCAUUUGAGUAAAUAUGUUUUCAUAUUGUUCCUCCCUGGGUCUAAAAUGCUUAACUAUAUAUAAUGUGCAGUUUGUUAGAAUAGAUUAGAGGUAUGAAGAAGCACUCCAAGAGAAAGGAGCCACGAUGACCUUCAUUUUAGAAUGCCAUUAGAACCACCACAUCUCUAGUUCUCUGGCUGUGUACGCUAUACUCGUACAAAAAAUACAGUUGGCGCUAUGGUAGGACCAUGUCAGCAGUACAUUCCUAAGGAAAGAGCGACUGACUAAGAUCAGAUCCAACUGGUGCCCGUGCUUCAAACGAAGUCUAGGAGACUUUGUGUUGAGGCUUUGUUUGGAAGAAGGAGUUGGUUGUGCACUGGUCAAAGUAUGUGCAUAACUCCUGUAGUUGCUGCCCUUUGUUAUUCAUGUUUCCUACUCCAGGUGUCCGAAGUAAGUGGGCAAGGAUUUAUGGUCAACACACACUCUUGGGAUACUUCUAAUGACAGUUCACAGGUUCUCAUACAAUUUGUCCUUUGCCUCAGGAGUGGCACUCAAUGCAAAGCUCACUUCAUGCUCUCUACUUAUCAUAACACUUCCUCUGCCAGAAGAAGGUGUAGUCUUUUAGAGUGCUGGAAUCUGUCAGGUGAGUUUCCUGAAGGCUGGCUAUGUUGAAGUUGAGCCUCUUGAGCUCCUUGUUGAUCACAGCUGUCUUCUUGGCAUUGGUAAUGUCAUGGAGGUUGUCAGUGAGCCCUGUCAUCAUCGUACAAACUUUCCAGGUACCCAGUUUAAGAGGUGGUCUCUAUUGUUGUCUGUGCUUUUCACCUGGUACAAUGUUUAUAACCUGUAAUGUUUAUAACCUGUAAUUCUGAUUAAUCCUCUUGUCCAUGCACCCAAUGAGGAAGGCAGGCUGUGGCAGAACAGCACCUGUUUCACUGGGGGCCCCCAGCUUAAAGUGGUCGGUAACUGUCCAGUGCGAUCCUAGAAUCCUUCCUACUGAUGGAAGCAGCCCCUGGUACAAUUGAGAAUCCAGAUAACCAUGACAGUGGCCACCAGCAACAGAAGCAGCACCAGCAUCAGCAGAAGGAGCAUCUGACUGGAGAAGGAGAAGAGAAGGAAAGUGAAGGUUUAAGACAUGCAGGGUUUCAUGCAGGAUCCAUGACAGCCUAAUGAAGAAGACGUGGAGGAGGAAGAGGAGAGGAGCCAUGACUGAGUCUGUCAGAGACCCCAGCCCUCUAAAGACUGGCUCUCUCUUCCUGGUCUGCUCUGAUACCACUGAUAUCCUUUUACGUCUCUGUUCUCAGAAGAAAAAAGGUGCAACACAUGCGCCCAGUAACACGCUGCAAAUGCGCAGACACUGUGUGAUGCGACAUGUUCUGUUAAAACAGUCACUGCACGUCAUUAAAGUGUCUCUGGGGAGGGUCACUUUGUAACUUUACAUGAAAAAGAGGAAGGAAAUGACGUCAGUGAUGCAGUAUGUCAGAAAUGGCCACCAUCCUAUCACACAACAGGACCUCUGUGGAUCAUCAUGAACUCUGUGGAGAAACUGAAUCUACAAGACUAAGCCCCAUCACUGGAAACAUGGGGAACAUGGGGGUAGAUGCCAGAAGCAAGAUAAGUACUUUGUGUCAGUAAGGCAGGCCACAAUCAAGCACACAAUAGCAAGUACAGCAGUCUCAUGCAGAGCAGAAUAUCAGCAAUGGCUACUGAGAGUCCAUCACAAUAGCAGCACAAAAUCACAUUUCACAGAAAACCUGAAUUAGAUCUGACAGUGACUGUGAGCUGUUUUGUUGUGAAAUCAUAUGACAGCAUUGUUAGAUCCAUCAGUGAUGCUGCUCCACUCACAGCAAGCAACCAAUUAAUGCCAAAGGUUGGCUCACAUGAGAAGGCCUCUCUGCCUCAGUCCUCACAUAAUAACCUGCUGACUGUCUGUGGGAGGAGCCACCAUCCUAUAUAGUGGGAGGAGUCUUAAGGUUCUGGAAGGGAGGCAGGCGCAGAAAGCAGAGAUGCACAGGUCCAGGAACAGUGGAGGCAACAGAACCACAGUGAGUAACCAGAAGCAGAAACCAGGACAAGACAAGAGGUCUCAUACCAAGAGACAAAGACCAACAUCAAAAUAACAAGACAAGACACAGGGCAUAGGACAGAGCAGAGAGAUCAAAAUCAGGAAAAUCGACAAGACAAGAGCCCCCAACAAGUCUAGUUACUCAAACAUACAGGAAUUUAAGGCUAGGCACCAAAUCCUGCAGCCAGGAUGUUCCACGAUUUAAUUCACUGCAACUAUUAGCUGGUUAUGAUGAGGCUACAAAUUCAGUUGGAGGCAUUUCAUAAUCAGCUUUAGUUUGGCUAAUUACUGUCAACAGCACAGUUUACAUUAGGAAGUUACUGGAGUGUCAUUAUAGAAAUAUGCUCCCCUGAUAAUUUUAAGAAUUCACUGGUUUCUGGGCACCUCCAGGAGAAAAUGGGCAGCAUGUAAAUCAAAUUUAAGGCCUCGGAAAGCAAGCUGAGGUGAGCUUUGGCCCAGCAAUAUACUUCCCUUUCAUUGUCGUGCAACACAGAAUUAAUCUUAUUAAUAUGCCCUGAUGCCCAAAAAGUUUGAGAUGUUUAUUUUUGAGUGUGGAGUCACGUGACUGUGGCAAAGAGGAGACAAAAUGACAUACAGCUUAUAAAUAGUCUGUUCCACUUUCAGCAAAGCCUGCAUACGCCCCGUUGUUUGGCUCUGUAGCCAACUGCCUGCAUUUCACUUCUGCUAAACUGUACAGAGAGCCGUGUUGGUAAGUGUGGGUCACCAGCUUCAAAGGGGGAAUAAACUGCCAAAGCCACCAGUGACAAAGUGUCAAUCUUCACACCCGGCCUCAAGUGACACGUACAUCAAUACAUCUGUUUGCAAGUAAACAUGCUGCACAUUUUCCAUCACAUGCUUAGUGUGAAUCUUUAUUUUAUACAUUCAAAAAUUCAGCAGUGAAUAAUGUACAAUAUCCUACAGCUGUGCCGGUCGAUGCUCCAGACGAGCUUCAAACUUUAGUUACUUUUUCUUGCCUGGGGGGGGGGGGGGUAAUGUGGCGCUGGUAGUUUGCUAAGUUGGUGUCCCCUCAGAAGAUGGUGCCCUAGGCAGCCCCUUAUGUCGCCUAAUAUGUUGACCAGCAUUGUUCAGUGACUAGACCAUUUUAAUCAGGUAAGGAAAAAAAGAAAUUAUAACCAUCAGAACAAUAGAAUGCAUGAAAGAGGAUGUUUGUGCUCAUGUCACUUCCUCCUUCUCUCUGAUCCAAACUUGGCCUAAUUAUGUCUUUUGGCCCUGCUGUCCUUAUUCGGCCUGAAAAUAGACACAUUUAUCUGGCUGAGCAGCAGGGGGCGCUGUGACACAGUGAGCACCAUGCUACCUCACUUCCUGUCUGCCUGUGUGUCAUUUGUAUUUUCUCUCUCUCUCUCUUUCCCCCCAAAGACCUGCAGCUUAGCUAAGCUGCUCUCUCCACGUUCCCUGCUGUGUCUGUGUGUGUCUCUGGGUCCCUGUCCAUCCCCUGCCCUCUUCUCCAGGUUCCUCCUGACCCCACACUGGAUAACUGCUAAUGGGGAACAGACAGUGUGUAAUGUGACCCAAACCAUGGCCAGUUACUACAGGGUGUGUGGAUGAUCCCUUACUCACAGUGUGGUGAAAAGGGGUAAUGUCGUGCACUAAGGCACCCGGAACACAGACAGAAGCGCAGGACGGCAGAAGUCGGGGAAACACGGGGUUUAAACGAAAAGCAAAGCAAACGCAGAUGGACAAUACAAUGACCGGACUGAGGAAACAAACUGAAACACAGACUGAAUACAUUGGACUAAGGACAGCAACAGGAAACAGCUGGUGAACAUGUGGAAUCCACACGGGGUUAACGAGGAGGCAUGGCACACGGAAGGAGCAGACGAUCGGGGCAAGACAGGUGGAGGCCCCACCAGAGAACAGUCUUAUGUAACUCAUUCAGGCUGUGCCCAGGCGGCCACUGGGUGAAGGCUUGGCCACCAUGCAUUCUCAAACAAGAUGCCCUCCCCCCAGGCCUGGCACCAGGGUGGGGCCUUGGUUUCCCUGUUUUAGAAUCCAGAUAACCAUGACAGUGGCCACCAGCAACAGUAGCAGCAUCAGAAUCAGCAGAAGGAGCAUCUGACUGGAGAAGGAGAAGAGAAGGAAAGUGAAGAUUUAAGACAUGCAGGGUUUCAUGCAGGAUCCAUGACAGGUUUUUACUUAUCCUGGUUUGAAUAUUUAAUGUACACUUUUUAAACAAGUUUACAGAGAAAGAAAUGGGUUUGGCAGUUUACCUUGGUGACUGUGUGGUGGAAGAAUCCUCAUUAGUGGUGGAAGUCAAGGCACCAGAGGGACGUGUGGUCACAGCCCAUCCUGUUGGGUGGUUUGUUGCUGAAGUUAAACCGUCUCCCUGCUGUGCAGAUGAAGUAAUACUUUCUGUCUGCUGUAAAGCUGUAGUCAGCUCUCCCUGUUUGGGCGUUUGUGAAACUCCUUUUGCUGUGGAAGACCAGAAGGCUAUUCCACAAAAUUAAAAGCCGGAAGACUGUCCAAAAGGAAUGCUUCUUACCUAAGCUGUUAUUAGAAUAUCAUGAUUUCUGGAUUAAUUUAUCCAACCAACUGAGAAAUCUUGUUUUGUGGAAUACCCCCAGCUCAAAACAGCAGUCAAACCAUUUCAUAUAACUUAAAUUAUAUGUAUGCAAUUUCAUAAUCCAUCCAUCUAUCCAUUUUCCAAACCGACUAUCCUAAUGGGUCGCGGGGGGUCUGGAGCCUAUCCUGGAAGCUUUGGGCACGAGGCAGGGAACAACCCAGGAUGGGGGGCCAGCCCAUCGCAGGGCACACUCGCACACCAUUCACACACACAUGCACACCUAUGGGCAAUUUAGCAAGUCCAAUUAGCCUCAGCAUGUUUUUGGACUGUGGGGGGAAACCGGAGUACCCGGAGGAAACCCCACGACGACAUGGGGAGAACAUGCAAACUCCACACACAUGUAACCCAGGCGGAGACUUGAACCCAGGUCCCAGAGGUGUGAGGCAACAGUGCUAACCACUGCACCACCAUACCGCCCCUGCAAUUUCAUAAUAUACAUGUUAAAUAUAAAUGAAUCUACUGUAAAACCAAUGAAAUUGAUGAAAGUAUAAUAGAUAUAAGAACCUAGGAUUUCAUUAUUGAGUAUUUCACCAUGUCUCAGUCAGUCUGUCCAUAACAUGCAACAACAUAAUAAUAAUAAUAAUAAAAUAAUAAUACAGUGGUACCUUGGACCAUGAACUUAAUUUGUUGUAGGAGGCUGGUUGAGCUAUAAUUUCCUUUUUCAGUUCUGCAGUUACUCUCACUACUUUGCUCUUUGGUUUGCUGCUAUCACUGCUCAGUUUCUUAGGGGCCCUGAUUACUGUAUCACUAAAUGUACUAGAUAAAGUACCAAAAACAUGAAAGGACAUCGAACUUGGUCGACGAGACUGAGAGCAUUCAUAAGUUUCAGCAUCCCAGUAGGUCUGUUUGCCUUUAUUUCAGCCCAUCCGAGACGCGUCUCAGUCUGUACAACUUUUAACAGGUCUGUUUUGUUUUUUUGCCUUCUGAGUUUUCGGUCGAGUUCCCGUUGGAUUUUUCUUGACCGCCCCUUGCGAUAGCGUGUCGACCCCUACAAGUUUUAGCAGGGAUGCUCGAGUUCCAAGAUUUCAGUUGAGGUAAAAGUCGAAAAAAAAUCGACAGACUCAUUCGAUGUCCGAGUUGGUCGAGUUAAGAGAUGUUCAAGUUCCAAGGUUCUACUGUAAUAAUAAUUAUGCUGUAUCCAUUAAAAUAAUGUAACAGGCAGAGUUCAUAUAACCUAGUCUAAUGCUAUGAUCAGCAGGCUAAUACAAUAAUUCACCUUCCAUCACCAUCAGCUGUAGAUAGACACAAUCAUCUGCUGCCCUGUGAAUCUCCACAGCACACCAGUAAGUGUCAGAGUCCGUUUCCUGCAGGUUGCUCAUGGUCACAUUAAAGACCAGGUGGGCGGGGUCAUCACUGAGUGACACUUUCCCUGCUGUCUGAUUGGAGUCAGAACGUGUCACUGUGGAGCAGGAAUUCCAGUUAGACCCUCUACACCAGUACUUCACAUGGUCUUUAUACUUCUGA